rnacentral:rRNA from 1 species
GACGAACGCUGGCGGCGUGCCUAACACAUGCAAGUCAAGGAGAAUUCCCGACUUGUCGGGAUAGUAAACUGGCGAACGGGUGAGUAACACGUAGGUAAUCUACCCUCGGGAUCGGGAUAACCUCGCGAAAGUGGGGAUAAUACCGAAUAAAGUCUCGGUAUAAUUUGUCGAGAUGAAAGAUGGGGAUCUUCGGACCUAUUACCUGAGGAUGAGCCUGCGCCUGAUUAGCUAGUUGGUAGGGUAAAUGCCUACCAAGGCAACGAUCAGUAGCUGGUCUGAGAGGAUGAUCAGCCACAUUGGGACUGAGAUACGGCCCAGACUCCUACGGGAGGCAGCAGUGAGGAAUUUUGCGCAAUGGGCGAAAGCCUGACGCAGCAACGCCGCGUGACUGAUUAAGCUCUGAGGAGUGUAAAAGUCUGUCGUAGAGGAAGAAACUAUCCGAUAAGAAUAUUGUCGGAUACUGACGGUACUCUAUGAGAAAGCUCCGGCUAACCG